CGAGGAGCUUGCUCCUCUGACGUUAGCGGCGGACGGGUGAGUAACACGUGGAUAACCUACCUAUAAGACUGGGAUAACUUCGGGAAACCGGAGCUAAUACCGGAUAAUAUAUUGAACCGCAUGGUUCAAUAGUGAAAGACGGUUUUGCUGUCACUUAUAGAUGGAUCCGCGCCGCAUUAGCUAGUUGGUAAGGUAACGGCUUACCAAGGCAACGAUGCGUAGCCGACCUGAGAGGGUGAUCGGCCACACUGGAACUGAGACACGGUCCAGACUCCUACGGGAGGCAGCAGUAGGGAAUCUUCCGCAAUGGGCGAAAGCCUGACGGAGCAACGCCGCGUGAGUGAUGAAGGUCUUCGGAUCGUAAAACUCUGUUAUUAGGGAAGAACAAAUGUGUAAGUAACUAUGCACGUCUUGACGGUACCUAAUCAGAAAGCCACGGCUAACUACGUGCCAGCAGCCGCGGUAAUACGUAGGUGGCAAGCGUUAUCCGGAAUUAUUGGGCGUAAAGCGCGCGUAGGCGGUUUUUUAAGUCUGAUGUGAAAGCCCACGGCUCAACCGUGGAGGGUCAUUGGAAACUGCAAAACUUGAGUGCAGAAGAGGAAAGUGGAAUUCCAUGUGUAGCGGUGAAAUGCGCAGAGAUAUGCAGGAACACCAGUGGCGAAGGCGACUUUCUGGCCUGUAACUGACGCUGAUGUGCGAAAGCGUGGGGAUCAAACAGGAUUAGAUACCCUGGUAGUCCACGCCGUAAACGAUGAGUGCUAAGUGUUAGGGGGUUUCCGCCCCUUAGUGCUGCAGCUAACGCAUUAAGCACUCCGCCUGGGGAGUACGACCGCAAGGUUGAAACUCAAAGGAAUUGACGGGGACCCGCACAAGCGGU
rnacentral:rRNA from 1 species